rnacentral:lncRNA from 1 species
CUUUUAUUGCUUAGUUUUACCAUCAAAGAUUUAAAAAUAAGUUUCUGUUCAAUCCUUCCUGGAAGAAAGUGAUUGUGAGUUUGAUUUUCCAAAAGGGUCAAGUAGAGCAAAAAUUGGUGUUCAGCGAUAUGCCAGCCAUAGCCAGAGAGCUCAUGGAUGCUUUGGCCAUGAACUCCUGGCUUCAGCUUCUGUCCUGUGGCCUCUGCAACUUUCCUGAACAAGUACCAGUCACAGCACGAGAAAGACUUUACUUACUGUCUACAAAGGUCACACCCAUCAAAACAUUAAAACAGUAGUUUUAAGCAAGAAAAGGCACCAUCAGAGAAUUGCCGUGCAUUGGCGAUAGUGGGUGAGGGGUCUUUCCCGUUACAGUAGGCACCAGCGUUCAGAACAGACUGGCUUCUGCAAUCUCAAAACCCCUCAUCUCGGGGAGGACGUUGUAGGUCACCUUAUCAGCUGUGCAGCACUGGGCUAUAAUUGCAUCAUCGCCACAAGAUAAUCUCCCAGGCUACUAUCCUAGUCCACAUUCUACCAGAGUGAUAAACAGCAUAAAUAAAUACCACAGCCAUUUACUUAGUUUGCUGUUUUUAAGGGUUUUCAGCUGGGAGAGGACCACAUGGCCUCUGUACAGCUGUUUAUGGGUUCUUUCUAACUGGAUGUGAAGCACUGAGUUCUAGAAUUCUUGGAAGACUGCCUUUUCCUCUAAGCCUGACUAAGGUCAAGUCCACCUACAACUUCAUAUAAACGUCUUUGGGCCACGUUUACAGGAAAAGACCAUCCACUGGUUGGACCGAACGACUGAAACUUUUGAACUGUUUCCACACAUAGCAGAAUGUGGUUUGCUGGGAUUCGCCCACUUAGCAGCCAGUCACUAAGGCAUUCGUUGGAAAUGAGAAGUGGAGGAUCACAUCUCACCCUGCAAGUGCGAGCUAUGCAGAGUGCUGUUCUGCUGAGGAAUGCGUAUGGAAAGGUGAGGAAAGCAACCACACAGCGGAUAAAGUUGAGAAACACUACCUCAGCCCUGUGGCCAAGGUCAGCAUCAACAGCGACACAUUAUGUUGGUGGUAUAUACUCACAUGAUGUGGUCAUGUGAUGUGGUGAUGAGAAGAGCAUUUCCUCCUCAAAGCCCAUAACCCCAUUCUAAUAAUGAGAAAACUAUCAGCAAACCCCAAAUUGAGGCACAGAGUGCAAAGUGCCUGGCCGGUACUCCUCAGAACUGUCAAGGUCACCAAAAACAUGGACAGACCCAGCAACUGCCACAGCCCAGAGGAGCCUAAGACGAGAUGAAUAAAUGUCAUAUAGUCUCCUGAAUACCAUCCAUGAGCAGAAAAAGGACAUUGGGUGAAAACCAAGGACAUCUGAAUAAGGCCAACCUCCUCCACAGCCAUCAAAGUGAUGCUUACGAGACCCAAAGCUGAUCAAGCCAUCGACCACUUAGAUUCUGCAGGCACUCUCUGUCACGUAAGUGUAAUGCAUUAGUCUCUCAGCGUGACCAGAAGGUGUUGAUGAUGUGAUGUGUCUGUUCUUAUCUCUUAGCACUGCCUUUGCUCUGCCUCCUUUCAGAUGUAUCAAAUAUUUGAAGUUGUCUGAGCAAACCAUGGUCAGAUUGGGGGGCCUCUGUCUGCACAGGCCACUCCCUCUCCCUGGGAAGCCUCUUUGGCCUUUCUUUCCUUCCUGCUGCCCACCCUUCUCCCCAGUAACUUCCACUGUGCUGAUGGGGUUGACCACUUAGCUUCAGCCUGAACCCUUGGUCACUUCUGGUGAAGGCCUGCUCUUGAAAAAAGCACGGCCUUUUUGUCUUUACAGGCCAAACAUUGUAUGUACAACUCAGCCAUGCGGUCACCACCCAGGUGUUUUACACCUUAAGGGCACUCCAGGCCCUCUGUACAGCACACUGCAGGUAAAUCAGCUGGUGAUCAUCGAAUACACAAAUGAAUGGCAAGAACAGAAGGAACUGGCUGGUGGAACAGGCCCAACACCAUGUGGAAGUUGCCAAGGCUUGGGGCCUGCACCCUUUGAAGCAAUGGCCCAAGCUGUACCUUGGCCCCUUUCGGUCAUGGCUGUAGCUGGAGUGUCUGGGACAUGGAGCACCAAGUCCUGAGGCUGAACAGAGCAGCGGGACCUUGGGCCCGGCCCACAAAACUAUUUUUUCCUCCUAGUCCUCUGGGUCUGUGAUGAGAGAGGCUGCUGCCAAGAUCUCUGACAUGCCAUGAAGACAUUUUUUUCCCCAUCGUCUUGAUGAUUAGCAUUUGGUUCCACGUUACUUAUGCAGAUUUCUGCAGUGGCUUGAAUGUCAUCUCAGAAAAUGAGUUUUUCUUUUCUAUCACAUUGUCAGCCUGCAAAUUUUCCAAACUUUUAUAUUCUGCUUCCCUGUUAAACAUAAGUUUCUAUUUCAGAUGACCUCUCCCAGGUUCAAAGUUCCACAGAUCUCUAGGUCAGGGCCAAAAUGCCACCAGUCUCUUUGCUAAAGCAUAGCAAGAGUGACCUUUGCUCCAGUUCCCAAGAAGUUCCUCAUCUCCAUCUGAGACCAUCUCAUUCUGGAUGUCAUUGUUCACAUCAUUACCAGCAUUUUGGUCAAAACCAUUCAACAAUUUUCCAGGAAGUUCCAUACUUUCCCACAUCUUCCUGUCUUCU